AAUGGGUGGCGUAGGAGAAUACGUAUGUUUCAGCCCUGGGCAGUGGGCCACUAGAGCGACGGCCGUCCACCUGCGACGGACCGAGCCGUGGACCAGAAUCGGGGAAGUCUGUCUGAUCCGUGGCUCAGAACUUUUGCUUUCCGUCCGAGGACGGCAGGCGCGGCUUGAAUGCAAGCCCUGUGUCGUCUACCCAGCGCCGCAGCCAUUGCCGUGAAGAGCGAUAGAGGGAGAGAGGGGAAGAACAAGCGACCGGCGCGCCAUGGAGUUCCUCACGCAGCCAAUCCGCAGAUCCACUAUGAUUGAGGAGGUCGGAGAGAGUCUAGUGCCGGAAGGUUCGCUGGCGGAUGGUACGAGGCGAAUGGGUUCGAGCGGCGACGGGCGGAUCUGCGGUGCGUCAGGAGCGGCGGCAAUUAGCGGCGAAGGGCGAAUCUGCAGCGCGGUUCAAGCGGCAGCAGUAAGAAGGGACAGCUAGCCUCCGACGUCGGAGCUGUCAGACAGGGAAGAUGAAUCCCCAGCCUCCUGGCUGGAAUAAGGGUUCCGUAGUUUCUAUGCCGCAGAAGGGGCGGCUGGUGGUGAACUCGACGGGGGACCGCAAGCAUCUGAGCAAUCCAUUGGUCAGGGUUACUCGAAAUCUCCUGCAUGGACGCGCAGGCAACCUAUUGGAUUUGGAGCACGCUAAUUUUGGUAUGUGGAUUACCUGGUCUUUUGCUCAGUUAGAGUUGUGAAUGAGCCGUGUGGUUCUUUGAUUAUGCUUAUGGAAAAACAAUCUGUAUAAUGGUGCAAUUACAAAUAGUGGAAAUUGGGAGCUGCUGAGCAUUCCAGAUAGAAGAAUGCAAUUUUUGUGUACAGUACAUGGCAUAGUUAGUCCUGCUUGGUAGAUUAUGUGCUGAAGUACACAAAACAAAUCUGAACGCAUUCUUUGUCUUGUAUGAGAAAUUCAGUCUUGUAAAUCGCUGACGACAGUAUGAAAAUUUAGUAGCAACAAACAUAACGCAUACAAAAGUGGCAUCGCCGAGUAGAUGCAGUGGAAGUUCAGUAAUUUGGUUUAGACAUGUGUUUGUAUUUUGGUUCUGAUUUGAUAAGCUGUAGAUGGAAUUUUGUGUGAUAACAUGCAGUGUGAAUGUUCAGUAAAUUGGUCUGUAUGUUCUUUUUAGUUCGUUGUGCUUCAGUAUUGUGAUAACAUGCAGUGUCAGCUGUCAGGAUUACCUUAGGGCAUAAUAUGUGGUGACCACAAUUCAUGUGGUGGCCACAUUACAGAUUAUUUGUUGCUGACAAAAGCUACCUGGAAACCCAGAUCUCUGAAUAUUUGGUACCCUGUUUUUUCAAAAUUAGAUGAUACUACGAGUGUUGCCACGGAAUCGAUUGCAAUAUAUUUCAAUGAGAUUAGAUUAUGUGGAACACUUCGUUUAAUAACACAAGAACCAAAAUUUAAAUACAUACGACUUGCUAUAUUUGAUGGUGAGUGAAGCGUUGGGGAGCUUGACAGCUCGCCUAACUGAAUCUAGGAAUGCAGAGCAUGUUGUACGAAUUGACACAUGUUUAAUAUUGCUUGCUGAAUGGACAAUAAUAUUAAAUGCUAGUUGGCUUGGAAGUAGAACUGCUGACAACUGUAUCCAAUUCGAAGGACUAGAGCAGAAGAAACUUAGGUUGUAUAAAUAUAUUGCCGCAGAGUCAUGGCUAAGCUGUAUCUGUUCUCCAUUAAUCCACUGCCUAGUGUAGUGAUAGGAAAACUGAAGACUGGUCCGGAGGUGUUGCAAAGAGCAGCACAAUGGCUCCUUCCGUGCUACGCAGCUCUGCAUCGGCUAUCACAGAAUCAGAUUCGGAUGCAAGUUCGAAGCAAGAUCUAUUGACAGCAGAGGCCACAGAUCGUGCGUCCGCAGAUGUAGCAGCAAAUGUGGUAGUCGUUUGCGCAGAAGGGGAGAUGCCGGAUUUCCCGCCGAUGGAAGAAUGAUAUGGAGACCACGAUCCAGGAGCUGCUGAGCGACGGUCUGGUUCUUGGGAUGGAUUACAGAUGAAGAACUAAUUUGGUCUCACAUGGAUUUAUCGAGUGGGGCCCAAAUGAAUCGUGGAGGAUAAGAUUGGUUGGUAUUACCUCCAACGGAAUAAAUGGGAGAGAUUAUUUUUUGAGGGAUAAUAAAUGGAAGAUGUGAUUGCGUUAGUCUAGAAUCUGUCGCUCAACGGCCCAUCUCGUAUAUCCAAACCAGAGCCGCUGUGGAGGGGGGCUUACGGCGUGAAGGCCUCUGGUAGUCAGCCGUGGGCCAUCGGCCCUGCACGAAAAUAUAAAUACAAGGAAUAUACCUGGGUUUUGCUUUGGUAUUGUAUAUGUUCAUAAUUUUUUUUCAUAAACUUGGUCAAUGUUUAUAAAGUUUGAUUUUAGCUUU